rnacentral:tRNA from 1 species
UAGAUCUUAGUCUAAUGAAAGACUUUGAGUUUUGAACUCUACGAUAUAAGCCCAUAACUUAUAGUUCUAC